rnacentral:rRNA from 1 species
CAUAUUGUGAGCUCGAUGAGUAGGGCGGGACACGUGGUAUCCUGUCUGAAUAUGGGGGGACCAUCCUCCAAGGCUAAAUACUCCUGACUGACCGAUAGUGAACCAGUACCGUGAGGGAAAGGCGAAAAGAACCCCGGCGAGGGGAGUGAAAAAGAACCUGAAACCGUGUACGUACAAGCAGUGGGAGCACGCUUAGGCGUGUGACUGCGUACCUUUUGUAUAAUGGGUCAGCGACUUAUAUUCUGUAGCAAGGUUAACCGAAUAGGGGAGCCGAAGGGAAACCGAGUCUUAACUGGGCGUUAAGUUGCAGGGUAUAGACCCGAAACCCGGUGAUCUAGCCAUGGGCAGGUUGAAGGUUGGGUAACACUAACUGGAGGACCGAACCGACUAAUGUUGAAAAAUUAGCGGAUGACUUGUGGCUGGGGGUGAAAGGCCAAUCAAACCGGGAGAUAGCUGGUUCUCCCCGAAAGCUAUUUAGGUAGCGCCUCGUGAAUUCAUCUCCGGGGGUAGAGCACUGUUUCGGCAAGGGGGUCAUCCCGACUUACCAACCCGAUGCAAACUGCGAAUACCGGAGAAUGUUAUCACGGGAGACACACGGCGGGUGCUAACGUCCGUCGUGAAGAGGGAAACAACCCAGACCGCCAGCUAAGGUCCCAAAGUCAUGGUUAAGUGGGAAACGAUGUGGGAAGGCCCAGACAGCCAGGAUGUUGGCUUAGAAGCAGCCAUCAUUUAAAGAAAGCGUAAUAGCUCACUGGUCGAGUCGGCCUGCGCGGAAGAUGUAACGGGGCUAAACCAUG